rnacentral:rRNA from 1 species
AUGAACGCUGGCGGCGUGCCUAAUACAUGCAAGUCGAACGCUUUGUGGUUCAACUGAUUUGAAGAGCUUGCUCAGAUAUGACGAUGGACAUUGCAAAGAGUGGCGAACGGGUGAGUAACACGUGGGAAACCUACCUCUUAGCAGGGGAUAACAUUUGGAAACAGAUGCUAAUACCGUAUAACAAUGACAACCGCAUGGUUGUUAUUUAAAAGAUGGUUCUGCUAUCACUAAGAGAUGGUCCCGCGGUGCAUUAGCUAGUUGGUAAGGUAAUGGCUUACCAAGGCGAUGAUGCAUAGCCGAGUUGAGAGACUGAUCGGCCACAAUGGGACUGAGACACGGCCCAUACUCCUACGGGAGGCAGCAGUAGGGAAUCUUCCACAAUGGGCGAAAGCCUGAUGGAGCAACGCCGCGUGUGUGAUGAAGGGUUUCGGCUCGUAAAACACUGUUGUAAGAGAAGAAUGACAUUGAGAGUAACUGUUCAAUGUGUGACGGUAUCUUACCAGAAAGGAACGGCUAAAUACGUGCCAGCAGCCGCGGUAAUACGUAUGUUCCAAGCGUUAUCCGGAUUUAUUGGGCGUAAAGCGAGCGCAGACGGUUAUUUAAGUCUGAAGUGAAAGCCCUCAGCUCAACUGAGGAAUUGCUUUGGAAACUGGAUGACUUGAGUGCAGUAGAGGAAAGUGGAACUCCAUGUGUAGCGGUGAAAUGCGUAGAUAUAUGGAAGAACACCAGUGGCGAAGGCGGCUUUCUGGACUGUAACUGACGUUGAGGCUCGAAAGUGUGGGUAGCAAACAGGAUUAGAUACCCUGGUAGUCCACACCGUAAACGAUGAGUGCUAGGUGUUUGAGGGUUUCCGCCCUUAAGUGCCGCAGCUAACGCAUUAAGCACUCCGCCUGGGGAGUACGACCGCAAGGUUGAAACUCAAAGGAAUUGACGGGGACCCGCACAAGCGGUGGAGCAUGUGGUUUAAUUCGAAGCAACGCGAAGAACCUUACCAGGUCUUGACAUCCCUUGACAACUCCAGAGAUGGAGCGUUCCCUUCGGGGACAAGGUGACAGGUGGUGCAUGGUUGUCGUCAGCUCGUGUCGUGAGAUGUUGGGUUAAGUCCCGCAACGAGCGCAACCCUUAUUACUAGUUGCCAGCAUUCAGUUGGGCACUCUAGUGAGACUGCCGGUGACAAACCGGAGGAAGGUGGGGAUGACGUCAAAUCAUCAUGCCCCUUAUGACCUGGGCUACACACGUGCUACAAUGGCGUAUACAACGAGUUGCCAACCCGCGAGGGUGAGCUAAUCUCUUAAAGUACGUCUCAGUUCGGAUUGUAGGCUGCAACUCGCCUACAUGAAGUCGGAAUCGCUAGUAAUCGCGGAUCAGCACGCCGCGGUGAAUACGUUCCCGGGUCUUGUACACACCGCCCGUCA